CUACGGGUGGCAGCAGUGGGGAAUAUUGGGCAAUGGGCGCAAGCCUGACCCAGCAACGCCGCGUGAGGGAAGAAGGUUUUCGGAUUGUAAACCUCUGUCCUUGGGGACGAAGAAGUGACGGUACCCAAGGAGGAAGCUCCGGCUAACUAUGUGCCAGCAGCCGCGGUAAUACGUAGGGAGCAAGCGUUGUCCGGAAUUACUGGGCGUAAAGGGUGCGUAGGCGGCAUAUUAAGUCAGGUGUGAAAUACUCGGGCUCAACCCGGGGGCUGCAUUUGAAACUGAUAUGCUUGAGUGUGAGAGAGGAAAGUGGAAUUCCUAGUGUAGCGGUGGAAUGCGUAGAUAUUAGGAGGAACACCAGUGGCGAAGGCGACUUUCUGGCUCAUAACUGACGCUGAGGCACGAAAGCGUGGGGAGCAAACAGGAUUAGAUACCCCUGUAGUC
rnacentral:rRNA from 1 species